rnacentral:rRNA from 1 species
AGUGAACGCUGGCGGUAGGCCUAACACAUGCAAGUCGAACGGCAGCACAGAGGAGCUUGCUCCUUGGGUGGCGAGUGGCGGACGGGUGAGGAAUACAUCGGAAUCUACUCUGUCGUGGGGGAUAACGUAGGGAAACUUACGCUAAUACCGCAUACGACCUCCGGGUGAAAGCAGGGGAUCUUCGGACCUUGCGCGAUUGGAUGAGCCGAUGUCGGAUUAGCUAGUUGGCGGGGUAAAGGCCCACAAAGGCGACGAUCCGUAGCUGGUCUGAGAGGAUGAUCAGCCACACUGGAACUGAGACACGGUCCAGACUCCUACGGGAGGCAGCAGUGGGGAAUAUUGGACAAUGGGCGCAAGCCUGAUCCAGCCAUACCGCGUGGGUGAAGAAGGCCUUCGGGUUGUAAAGCCCUUUUGUUGGGAAAGAAAUCCAUCUGGUUAAUACCCGGGUGGGAUGACGGUACCCAAAGAAUAAGCACCGGCUAACUUCGUGCCAGCCGCCGCGGUAA